UUUACCUUUUAUCAUGCUCUUUAAUAGAUUCAGCAAGUGUCUCAACCGACCAGGCAAAGAGCAAUGGGCAAAGUCAACUCUGCCAUAGCUCUUUGGAAAUGGAUAAACCAUAGAAAGCAACUAAUUGACUCUGGCAUGCAGCCUAUCUUUAAAUCCAGCUCUGAAAUCCAGGCUCAAGCAGAGGUAUCCCUGUAAGGAUACCAGAAGCAUAUCCUACUGUUAGUUGCUGGCCUUGCUUCUACUGGGCGCUCCAGCUGACUGAUGUGUGCUUACCUGUAAGGAAUCCAAGCUGAUCCUCCAAAUGAUUCUAUUAUGAAUCACUACCUCUCUAUUCUAAAUGAUGGGCAAUUGGCUAGGAGAAAGGCAGUCAUUGGAAUUUCUACAAAAUUACCCAGACCUCACCCACUCCUAGAGACUCUGUCAUUCAUGGACGCUUUGUGGUAGCUGGAGAGGGCAUGCAUCUGAGCAGGAAAUGGGCAGAUUUCUAGAAGUAUU